rnacentral:rRNA from 1 species
CGAGCGGACAGAAGGGAGCUUGCUCCCGGAUGUUAGCGGCGGACGGGUGAGUAACACGUGGGUAACCUGCCUGUAAGACUGGGAUAACUCCGGGAAACCGGAGCUAAUACCGGAUAGUUCCUUGAACCGCAUGGUUCAAGGAUGAAAGACGGUUUCGGCUGUCACUUACAGAUGGACCCGCGGCGCAUUAGCUAGUUGGUGAGGUAACGGCUCACCAAGGCGACGAUGCGUAGCCGACCUGAGAGGGUGAUCGGCCACACUGGGACUGAGACACGGCCCAGACUCCUACGGGAGGCAGCAGUAGGGAAUCUUCCGCAAUGGACGAAAGUCUGACGGAGCAACGCCGCGUGAGUGAUGAAGGUUUUCGGAUCGUAAAGCUCUGUUGUUAGGGAAGAACAAGUGCAAGAGUAACUGCUUGCACCUUGACGGUACCUAACCAGAAAGCCACGGCUAACUACGUGCCAGCAGCCGCGGUAAUACGUAGGUGGCAAGCGUUGUCCGGAAUUAUUGGGCGUAAAGGGCUCGCAGGCGGUUUCUUAAGUCUGAUGUGAAAGCCCCCGGCUCAACCGGGGAGGGUCAUUGGAAACUGGGAAACUUGAGUGCAGAAGAGGAGAGUGGAAUUCCACGUGUAGCGGUGAAAUGCGUAGAGAUGUGGAGGAACACCAGUGGCGAAGGCGACUCUCUGGUCUGUAACUGACGCUGAGGAGCGAAAGCGUGGGGAGCGAACAGGAUUAGAUACCCUGUAGUCCACGCCGUAAACGAUGAGUGCUAAGUGUUAGGGGGGUUUCCGCCCCUUAGUGCUGCAGCUAACGCAUUAAGCACUCCGCCUGGGGAGUACGGUCGCAAGACUGAAACUCAAAGGAAUUGACGGGG